AAUCAACGCUGGCGGCGUGCCUAACACAUGCAAGUCGAACGAGAAAGUGGAGCAAUCCAUGAGUAAAGUGGCGCACGGGUGAGUAAACACGUGACUAAACCUACCUUUUAGUGGGGGAUAACCUAGGGAAACCUGGGCUAAUACCGCAUAAUACCUACGGGUCAAAGUUCGCCUCGGCGGACGCUGAAAGAGGGGGUCGCGGCCGAUUAGCUAGUUGGCGGGGUAAUGGCCCACCAAGGCGAUGAUCGGUAUCCGGCCUGAGAGGGCGCACGGACACACUGGAACUGAAACACGGUCCAGACUCCUACGGGAGGCAGCAGUGGGGAAUUUUGCGCAAUGGGGGAAACCCUGACGCAGCAACGCCGCGUGGAGGAUGAAGACCCUUGGGUCGUAAAACUCC
rnacentral:rRNA from 1 species